AACGUAGGAGGCGAGCGUUAUCCGGAGUUACUGGGCGUAAAGAGCGUGUAGGCGGGUAUGCAAGUUUGGCGUGAAAGCUCCCGGCUAAACUGGGAGAGUACGCUGAAGCCUGCGUAUCUAGAGGCGAGUAGAGGGACGUGGAAUUCCGGGUGUAGUGGUGAAAUGCGUAGAGAUCCGGAGGAACACCAGUGGCGAAGGCGGCAUCCUGGACCGACACUGACGCUGAGGCGCGAAAGCUAGGGGAGCAAACGGG
rnacentral:rRNA from 1 species